GGGACUAUAGCUCAGUGGCACAGUACCUGCCUGGCAAGUGUGAGGUCCUGAGUUCAAUUCUCAGUACUCA
rnacentral:tRNA from 1 species